rnacentral:rRNA from 1 species
GAUGAACGCUGGCGGCGGGCCUAAUACAUGCAAGUCGAGCGAACAGAUAAGGAGCUUGCUCCUUUGUCGUUAGCCGUGGACGGGUUAGUAACACGCUGUUACCCAACGUUUAAGACUGGAAUAAUGGAUGGAAACCUGAGCUAAUGCCGGAUAACAUUCACAACCGUAUGAUUGUUAAGGGAAAGAUGGUUUUGCUAUCAUUUUUUUAUCUAGUCGCGCCGCAUUCGCCUCUUGGUAAGGUAACGGCUUACCAAGGCAACGAUACGUAGCCGACAUGAUAGGAUGAUCGGCCACACCGGAACUGAAACGAGGUACAGACUCCUACGGGAGGCAGGAGUAGGGAAUCGAACACAAUAGGCGAAAGCGUAGCGGAACAAAGCCGCGUCAGUGAUAGAAAUCCUCGGAUCGUAAAACUCUGUUAUUAGGGAAGAACAAGUGUGUAAGUAACUGGGCACUUCUUGACGGUACCUAGUCAGAAAGCAACGGCUAACUACGUG